GUGCACCAGGCGAGAAUUUUUCUCAAUGGGCGAAAGCCUGAAGGAGCGACGCCGCGUGGGGGAUGAAUGGCUUCGGCCCGUAAACCCCUGUCAUUUGUGAACAAAUUGUUUCACCUAACACAUGAAGCAUUGAUAGUAACGGAAGAGGAAGGGACGGCUAACUCUGUGCCAGCAGCCGCGGUAAUACAGAGGUCCCAAGCGUUGUUCGGAUUCACUGGGCGUAAAGGGUGCGUAGGCGGUUGGGUAAGUCUGACGUGAAAUCUCCGGGCCUAACCCGGAAACUGCGUUGGAUACUAUCCGGCUAGAGGAAUGGAGGGGAGACUGGAAUACUUGGUGUAGCAGUGAAAUGCGUAGAUAUCAAGUGGAACACCAGUGGCGAAGGCGAGCCUCUGGACAUUUCCUGACGCUGAGGCACGAAAGCCAGGGGAGCAAACGGGAUUAGAUACCCCUGUAGU
rnacentral:rRNA from 1 species